GGAGCGGUAGUUCAGUUGGUUAGAAUACCGGCCUGUCACGCCGGGGGGCGCGGGUUCGAGUCCCGUCCGCUCC
rnacentral:tRNA from 1 species